AUUUUAGUGUAAGUAUGUCCCAUGCAAUAUUUUGAAUAGUUAUAUUAAAA
rnacentral:pre_miRNA from 1 species